rnacentral:rRNA from 1 species
AUUGAACGCUGGCGGCAGGCCUAACACAUGCAAGUCGAGCGGAUGAAGGGAGCUUGCUCCUGGAUUCAGCGGCGAACGGGUGAGUAAUGCCUAGGAAUCUGCCUGGUAGUGGGGGAUAACGUCCGGAAACGGGCGCUAAUACCGCAUACGUCCUGUGGGAGAAAGGGGGGGUUCUUCGGACCUCACGCUAUCAGAUGAGCCUAGGUCGGAUUAGCUAGUUGGUGGGGUAUAGGCCUACCAAGGCGCCGAUCCGUAACUGGUCUGAGAGGAUGAUCAGUCACACUGGAACUGAGACACGGCCCAGGCACCUACGGGAGGCAGCAGUGGGGAAUGUUGGACAAUGGGCGGAAGCCUGAUCCAGCCGUGCCGCGUGUGUGAAGAAGGUCUUCGGAUUGUAAAGCACUUUAAGGUGUGAGGAAGGGCAGUAAGUUAGUACCUUGCUGUUUUGACGUUACCAACAGAAGAAGCACCGGCUAACUACGUG